GAUGAACGCUGGCGGCGUGCCUAAUACAUGCAAGUCGAGCGAACAGACGAGGAGCUUGCUCCUUUGACGUUAGAGGCGGACGGGUGAGUAACACGUAGGUAACCUACCUAUAAGACUGGGAUAACUUCGGGAAACCGGAGCUAAGACCGGAUAAUAUUUCGAACCGCAUGGUUGGAUAGUGAAAGAUGGAUUUGCUAUCACUUAUAGAUGGAGCUGCGCCGGAUUAGCUAGUUGGUAAGGUAAUGGUGUACCAAGGCAACGAUACGUAGCCGACGUGAGAGGGGGAGCGGCCACAGUGGCACUGGGACACGGUCCCGACCCCGACGGGUGGCAGCAGUAGGAAAUCUUACGAAAUGGGCGAAAGCCUAACGGUGCAGCGCCGAGUGAGUGAUGAAGGUCUUGGGCUCGUAGAACUCUGCUAUUAGCGACGAACAAACGUGUAAGUAACUGUGAACGUCUUGACGGUAGCUAAUCAGGAAGCCACGGCUAACUACGUG
rnacentral:rRNA from 1 species